AUUGAACGCUGGCGGCAGGCCUAACACAUGCAAGUCGAACGAGCGGCGUACGGGUGAGUAAUGUCUGGGAAACUGCCUGAUGGAGGGGGAUAACUACUGGAAACGGUAGCUAAUACCGCAUACCAUCGGAUGUGCCCAGAUGGGAUUAGCUAGGUGGUGGGGUAACGGCUCACCAAGGCGACGAUCCCUAGCUGGUCUGAGAGGAUGACCGGCCACACUGGAACUGUGACACGGUCCAGACUCCUACGGGAGGCAGCAGUGGGGAAUAUUGCACAAUGGGCGCAAGCCUGAUGCAGCCAUGCCGCGUGUGUGAAGAAGGCCUUCGGGUUGGAAAGCACUUUCAGCGGGGAGGCGUUACCCGCAGAAGAAGCACCGGCUAACUCCGUGCCAGCAGCCGCGGUAAUAC
rnacentral:rRNA from 1 species